AGGCAAAAGGCAAUUUUUAAAGGAAUUUUAAGGCGUCUAAGUAUCUCCCAGGCAUGGGUGAGGACACAUGAGCUUACUCUCCUCCCUUCAACAGUUGCCGAUUUGGUGCAUGCAAUGUGAUACCUUUGCUGCUGGGCUCAGCCUUGGCGUUCAGUGCUCCAUCAGACAAACGGGGUUCUUCUCCUCUUGGAGCCUACGGUCUUGGAUUCAGACACUGAAGCAUUGUAGCAAGGAACCCUCCAAGAACUAAAGUCUCCAGUGUUUGUCUCUGUGAAUCAUGGAAUCCUCAGACCACAGCCCGAUAGGCUGGGGAAGGAGCUUGGAGGUUGUCUGGGCUUCUUUUUUAAGGGCCUGCUAGAGUGAAACUGUUUCAUCCCAAACCCAAAGAACUCUCUAACAGGUAGGUGCUUUGCCUCCUGUGCUGGAGAAAGGAGAUUUUUCUUCCCAAGGGAGGUCUGUCAAAGCAGCAGAGGCUUCAGCACAUCCGGGGAAACGGGUCACAAAGUCCAUUAAGCCAGUCUUGCGUACAUCUCUGACAGGUGGCUCUGAAGGUUCUCCUUCUGCAGAGGUCAGUGCUUUGCCGGAUACUUGGGGAUUGAUGGAUGCCUGUUAAGACCAGCUCCCUGGUGCUGUCCACGGCUCCAGCCCAUCAUCUAACACCCUCAGGAAUUUGAUGCACCUGACUUAGAAAAUCAUCCAGUACUUGGCAGUUGUCCUUAACAGCGCUUCCUAACCGGUUCCCUCUUUGCUGAUCUUGUUCACUGCUCUCAGCCUCUGAUAUUUUUAUUUGUAAUGUUGAAAUCUAAUUAUUUUCCUCCCCUGCCUUAAAAGCUUCCAAGACGCCCCAUGUGCUGUAGGUGGAGGCCCAGUACUCCCUAAUAAGCUCUUCGAGGCUCGCUGCACAAUCUGGUUCUCUCCCUCUCCCACUUCAUCUUCCUCAUUCUUUCCAAAUCUCUAACCCUCUAAUGACGCUGGCCACCUGCUAGUCUCAGAACACACCACAUCCUGACUCAUGCUGUUUUCUAGCUGCUGUCAGC
rnacentral:lncRNA from 9 species